AGUUCCUGCGACGCCCCUGCAGCAGCAGCAGCGUGGUCAGAGCGAGCUUCUGAGCGGUGGUGGGUUCCAUGUGAUGGUGGAGUAGGAGACAGGUCUCCGCGGUCAGUGGCGGGGGCGUGGACCCCACCGGGAACCCUCCCUGCUCCUUCCCUGCCUCUCCCUGUUUUCGUGCCCGCACUUCUUCGUGGGCAUCUGGGCCCGAGUCCUCCGCUUGGGGGCGGUUGUGCGGUCCUGGCUACUGCAGCGUCCGCACCCCGGCCGGGAAGGCUAUGCCAAUGUCCGACCCGCGUCCAGCGUAUAGGAGCGCCCUGGCCCACAGCUGGCGGUAAAACGCGGGACCUGGGUCCCUCGGAGCCCCAGGGGCCUCUGAGCUGGAGUCUAGGAUUAUUUUUGAUGCCUCAGCACCUUUAAAAAGAGACCUCGCUAGAGCAGGGGGCAUCUGUAUUUUCAGUUCUUUGAGGAGUCUCCAGCUAUUUAGCUGUUUUCCAUGGUUCAUCUGCGUUGCUCUAAAUGGGACUGUUUCAUUAUUUUGAUGGCUGAAGAAUAUUUCCUAGUGUAUGUAUAUGAGAGUUUCUUGAUCUCUUUAUCUGUGGAUGAACAGCUACUUUGAAAUAUAUGAUACAUUUGUGUUAAGGCUAGUCACGCUGCUGUGGAAUAGAAGGCCAGAAUUGAUCACUAUCAUCUGAGAGUAACUUUGUACCCAUCACUGAUUCCUUCCGAGACUGCCUCCACUUCCCCAGCAGCCUCUGAUUUCUUCAUGUGGCUGCAGAUGGCAGGAUUUCCCAAAGGUUUAUGGCUGCAACAUAUUCCGUGGUGUAUCUGUACAGCAGUUUCCUCAUUCCUGCAGCUGUGUUUGAACAGGUCAUUUACCAUGCGGUCCUCCAGGUUCAACAGUAUGGCUCCAAAUGAUGAAAUUUCAUUCUGAUUUUCUGGCUGAAGACUAUUCUGUUUGUGUAUGUCCACCACAGUUACUUUAUCCCUUCAUCUGUGGAUGGGCAGUUGGUUGGCAGAGAAUUUGAACUGGAGAUGAACUUUAUUAUCCAGGAUGCUGAGAGUAUAACAUGCAUGACAGAGCUUUUAGAGCACUGUGAUGUAACAUGUCAAGCAGAAAUAGGGAGCAUGUUUACAGCCAUUCUAUGAAAAAGUGUUCGGAAUGUACAGACUAGCACAGAAGCUGGACUAAUUGAACAAGUAUUGCUGAAAAUGAGUGCUGUAGAUGACAUGAUAGCAGUGGUACAUGAUCAGCAUUGUCCACAUUUACAAUCGAUGGAGAAACAGUGAAAUUCAGUGUUAUGUUAAUGGACAACUGGUAUCUUAUGGUGAUAUGGCUUGGCAUGUUAACACAAAUGACAGUACCUUCAAGUUUAAAUCUGAGAGUGAUAUUCAUUUGGCAGAACAUCAUAAACAGGUUUUGUAUGAUGGGAAACUUGCAAGUAGCAUUACCUUUACAUAUACUGCUAAGGCCACUGAUGCUCAACUCUGCCUGGAAUCAUCACCAAAAGAGAAUGCAUCAAUUUUUGUGCAUUCCCAACAUGCUCUAAUGCUUCAGAUUCAAGUGCUUUUUCCACUGUUUCCCCAAUUGGAUAAUCGGCAGCUCAAUGACAGUCAAGUGGAAACAACUGUCUGCUCCUGCUUCAGGUGCAGAAAUACAGCGAUUUCCAGUGCCAGCUGUUGAGCCAGUGCCAGCACCAGGGGCAGAUUCCCCUCCAGGGACAGCGCUGGAGCUAGAGGAAGCUCCAGAGCCCUCCUGCCGCUGCCCUGGGACUGCCCAGGACCAGCCCAGUGAGGAGCUGCCUGACUUCAUGGCACCUCCUGUAGAGCCACCGGCCUCAGCCCUGGAGCUGAAAGUGUGGCUGGAGCUAGAGGUGGCAGAGAGGGGUGGCCAGCACAGCUCCAGCCAGCAGCUCCCACACUGCUCCCAGUCCUGGGCACAGUGGAAGCUAUGGAGGCAGAGACCAGGGUUUGCAAUCUGGGCUCCUCUGCCUCACUGGAGAGGGACUUCUCUCAUUCAGCAGAGCAGCAGCCCUGCUGCUGAAGGGCCUGCUGCUACUGCUGCUGGGGCUGUUUGCCUGCCUGCAGGAGGUGCUGGAGAGCAAGAAAAGGAGCCUGUGAGCAGGGGUUCCAGCAGGUCCUCCUGCUCCCAGAGGCGACCUCCUCCUCCAGGCAUGGAGGUUUGCCCUCAGCUGGGCAUCUGGGCCAUUUGCCCCUAACGUGCUGCCCAGGAUGGCCUCCUCUUGACAGGCGGACAGGGGGUGAGGGGGCCAGGGGGCAUCUCCAAAGGAAGCUUUUAAACUCAGCAGCUGCACCCCAGAAUCUGUAUGCCUGCACCUGCCCAAGGAUUUAUUCAUAGCUUACCUAAGAAUUUCAAAUUUCUACCAUAACACUGAAUAAAGUUUGACUUUUUGAAACUUC
rnacentral:lncRNA from 1 species